rnacentral:rRNA from 1 species
GCCCUUAGAUGUUCUGGGCAGCACGCGCGCUACAAUGGUCUUCGCAAACGGAUGCAUUCUCGAAGGAGAAUGCCAAUCUUGGAAUCUAUGCCUUGGUCGGGACAGUUGCUUGCAAUUUUUCGACUCGAACCAGGAAUUCCUUGUAAUCGUGAUUCAUCACAUCACGAUGAAUACGUCCCUGCCCUUUGUACACACCGCCCGUCGCUCCUACCGAUCGAAGAGUUAGGUGAAUUGUUUUGAUCGAUAAGAUUUGACUAUGGUCAACUCUCGUUGUGAAAUUCUGUGAAUCUGACUGUUUAGAGGAAGGAAAAGUCGUAACA